rnacentral:rRNA from 1 species
UCCUACGGGGGGCAGCAGUAGGGAAUUUUCGUCAAUGGGCGCAAGCCUGAACGAGCAAUGCCGCGUGAACGAGGAAGGUCUUCGGAUCGUAAAGUUCUGUUGAAGGGGAAAAAGAGCGGAGAGAGGAAAUGGUCUCCGAUUGAUAUUACCCUUCGAGGAAGUCACGGCUAACUACGAGCCAGCAGCCGCGGUAAUACGUAGGUGGCGAGCGUUAUCCGGAAUGAUUGGGCGUAAAGGGUGCGUAGGCGGCCUGCUAAGUCUGGAGUGAAAGGUACCGGCUCAACCGGUACAGGCUCUGGAAACUG